rnacentral:rRNA from 1 species
GAUGAACACUGGCGGCGUGCCUAAUACAUGCAAGUCGAGCGAACGGACGAGAAGCUUGCUUUUCUGAUGUUAGCGGCGGACGGGUGAGUAACACGUGGAUAACCUACCUAUAAGACUGGGAUAACUUCGGGAAACCGGAGCUAAUACCGGAUAAUAUUUUGAACCGCAUGGUUCAAAAGUGAAAGACGGUCUUGCUGUCACUUAUAGAUGGAUCCGCGCUGCAUUAGCUAGUUGGUAAGGUAACGGCUUACCAAGGCAACGAUGCAUAGCCGACCUGAGAGGGUGAUCGGCCACACUGGAACUGAGACACGGUCCAGACUCCUACGGGAGGCAGCAGUAGGGAAUCUUCCGCAAUGGGCGAAAGCCUGACGGAGCAACGCCGCGUGAGUGAUGAAGGUCUUCGGAUCGUAAAACUCUGUUAUUAGGGAAGAACAUAUGUGUAAGUAACUGUGCACAUCUUGACGGUACCUAAUCAGAAAGCCACGGCUAACUACGU